UGGGGAAUAUUGCGCAAUGGGCGAAAGCCUGACGCAGCAACGCCGCGUGAGUGAUGAAGGCCUUCGGGUCGUAAAGCUCUGUCGGAGGGAACGAAUGCUCUUGAGGUUAACAGCCUCGGGAGGUGACGGUACCCUCAAAGGAAGCACCGGCUAACUCUGUGCCAGCAGCCGCGGUAAUACAGAGGGUGCGAGCGUUGUCCGGAUUUAUUGGGCGUAAAGAGCUCGUAGGCGGUUGCGUAAGUCGGAUGUGAAAACUCAGGGCUCAACCCUGAGACGCCAUCCGAUACUGCGCUGACUUGAAUCCAGUAGGGGAGUGUGGAAUUCCUGGUGUAGCGGUGAAAUGCGCAGAUAUCAGGAGGAACACCCAUGGCGAAGGCAGCACUCUGGGCUGGUAUUGACGCUGAGGAGCGAAAGCAUGGGUAGCGAACAGGAUUAGAUACCCCCGUAGUCCCUGAGCGGGCUGGCAAGGCGCAU
rnacentral:rRNA from 1 species